AUUGAACGCUAGCGGGAUGCCUUACACAUGCAAGUCGAACGGAGUGGCGAACGGGUGAGUAAUGUAUCGGAACGUGCCCAGUAGCGGGGGAUAACUAAGCGAAAGCGUAGCUAAUACCGCAUACUAUUGGAGCGGCCGAUAUGGGUGUAGCUAGUUGGUGGGGUAACGGCGCACCAAGGCGAAGAUCCGUAGCCGGGUUGGGAGGACGACCAGCCACACUGGAACUGAGACACGGCCCAGACUCCUACGGGAGGCAGCAGUGGGGAAUUUUGGACAAUGGGGGAAACCCUGAUGCAGCCAUCCCGCGUGUGCGAUGAAGGCCUUCGGGUUGUAAAGCACUUUUGGCAGGAAAGCGGUACCUGCAGAAUAAGCACCGGCUAACUACGUGCCAGCAGCCGCGGUAAUUC
rnacentral:rRNA from 1 species